rnacentral:rRNA from 1 species
GAUCAUGGCUCAGGAUGAACGCUGGCGGCGCGCCUAACACAUGCAAGUCGAACGGACGAUGAAAAGCUUGCUUUUCAAAGUUAGUGGCGGACGGGUGAGUAACGCGUGGGUAACCUGCCUUAUACAGGGGGAGUAACAACCAGAAAUAGGUUGCUAAUACCGCAUAAGCGCACAGGACCGCAUGUCCGGUGUGAAAACUACCGUCGGUAGUAAGAUGGACCCGCCGUUGGUAUUAGUCUAGUUGGUCGAGGGUAACGGGACCCG